UACGACGGGUGCUAGCGUUGUUCGGAAUUACUGGGCGUAAAGCGCGCGCAGGUGGAUUUAUAAGUCAGGGGUGAAAUCCCGGGGCUCAACCUCGGAAUUGCCUUUGAUACUGUCUAUCUUGAGGCCGGGAGAGGUGAGUGGAAUUCCUAGUGUAGAGGUGAAAUUCGUAGAUAUUAGGAAGAACACCAGUGGCGAAGGCGGCUCUCUGGCCCGGUCCUGACGCUCAUGUGCGAAAGCGUGGGGGGCAAACAGG
rnacentral:rRNA from 1 species